rnacentral:rRNA from 1 species
UGGGGGAUAUUGCACAAUGGGGGGAACCCUGAUGCAGCGACGACGCGUGGGUGAAGAAGCGCCUCGGCGCGUAAAGCCCUGUCAGCAGGGAAGAAAAUGACGGUACCUGAAGAAGAAGCCCCGGCUAACUACGUGCC